AAGUGGAAGCAGCUAUUGCUGUUUUGAAACACUCUGCUGAUGAUGACACUGUCCGUGAGAAGAUGAAGGCUACCUUCCAUUACCGUCAUUCAAUGGUCAAUGAUGAAAAGAAAGCGGCAAAUGUCUUCUCUGUCUUUCCACGGUUUCUGGACACACCAGGACUGAUAUAAAAAGAUUUCAGACUCCUGUUUGGCGAAGACACUGCCAACAAAUCUUUGGAGAAGUGGCCCACCAGUCUCAAAUCCAAGGUUAUAAAGGAAAGCCAUGAGCUCUUGGAUUUAUUGCGGAAUGCAGAGUUGGCUGCUGAAGCUAAGAAUGCUGCAUCUGCUACCACCAUCUGCACAAGGACGAAAGAGGCCGGGUAAGAUGUCUGCAUCUUAAGCAGUGGAUCACCUCAUCAGAUGUCUAAAGGUUGGAACCAGUGUACAGAGGCAUCUUGACAAAAUCAUGCAACGUACCCAGCCCUACCUCCUUGCCCAGGGAUUCAUCCAAAGCAGUAUUCACACAUUCUUCAUUGUGAUUGACAACUGUACUAUUCCAUGUA